AAAUUAAAAUAAACACAAAAAAAUAAAUUUUGAUCCUGUAUCGAGUAGGCAGUGAACCUAGCGGUAAUUUUAACUGCAGUAAUUUUUUUCAAUUAAUUUAUCUUAGACCGUCAAGUGAAAGUGAUUACACCGUAAUAAUCUACCUUAAAGUUAGGAUUAUAGUGUUUCAAUAAUUUUAAUGAUUUCAAAAGUACAGUAUUUUAUAUUUAAAAAUUUAAUGAGUUUUAAUAUCAUUAUAAUAUAACUGAUUUUGUCUAAUUAAAAUCAACUUUUGUUGAAUAGGUAAUUUAUAAAUUUGGCGAUCUAAACCUCUAGCAAGAACAUUUGGAUAGUCAGUCGACUACUACUAUAACGUAACGUGUAGCAAUUAUUACUGUCAACUGGAAUCAUACCUAUAUACUAAAUAUCAAUUGUUAAGACCGUAACGUUUAACCGAAAUAUAUUAAAAUUAAAGCAUAAAAUAAAUUUUGUGUCUCCUAAGAAUAUCUUAUUAUUCGCGUAUCUAUUUCGGAUUUAUUGCAAAUAUGCUAUUAAAAUUUAUCGUUUCGUGUGUUAUUAUUUAUUCUUUU